CGUUAAUUGGCGAAAAAUGUAAAAUGGCGUCUGUCGAAUAAGACAGUAUAUGGAGGAAGACAGCAAGUCUACUAAGAUGCCUUCAUCUUCAUUUUGAAGGCCACCGAUGCAUUCUUGCCAGUGUUAUCCUACAAUCCUCAACACAUAUGGCUCAGCAGUUGGAGAAAAUGUCAGUUAAAAGAGGAUUCUUUAAGAAGGUCGCAGCAAAUGAACACCUCAGAUGGCUGUGACUCAUGCAGGCCAUAGCGAGUGCCAGGUCGAGAGAUUGAGGCUGAAGUUGACGGUGCCUGUGCUCUUGGUACAACGUGAAACUGAAGCAAAGAGGAGGCAUGUGACACAAGCUAAACCCGGAGAACUCCAGAGUUUAGUCGCUCCACGUGGCUUAAACAAGCAACUCGAGGGCGUGCAGGUGAUUAAGAACACGAGCUGAUCAAACAUCCACAUUCGUUCAUAUUUAUGGGGUAGCAAUGACUAUCCUUCUCUUUCAUUGUCUGAAAACUGGAUAAGUGUGAGUGGAAGUUUGUGUAUGAUGGUCAGCGUCUGUAUCGUCCCCCCCCCAAAAAAUGCACCUCCCUCUCUGCUUCUCUUUCAUUGUUUCUUUCGUGAUUUCCCACUCUCCCUCUGGUUGUCUUCCCUAAAUUAAUACUCAUUUAAGUGUUACUGUGUCUUGGUCUCCCUCCUCCUGUCCUGGCUGAAUAGAAGACUGAAUUGAGCAAACAGUCAGCCUGUCAGCUCAAUAGGCAGUCUGACCAUGAACUCCAAGUCCUUCCCAGCAUCAUCAUCAAGAGGGGGAGGGAGAGACAGAGAAGGGGGGGAGGCAGACAGACUCAGACUUUGGGGGCCCCCGGUGCCCAUUUUUUGGGGGAGCCUCAUCGUGGUGGUUCCCAAGGCUGGUGCCUGCAUGGAAAGGCAAGAGCAGCUGCUCAGAACAGGAGAGCCUUGUGUGUGUGUAUGUGUGUGUGUGCAGACGGCAGAGUGUCUGCCCCUUUGCCCAAGCCCCAGCCACCUCGCACGCUCCCAGACGCAAGCUGCUGCAGAUUCUUCGCUCCUUUUUUAUCUGAUGUGCUUUGGCUUUGUUUUUACCGUGCAUAAUUUACUGUGCCGUUCCCUCUCAGUCGCUCUUCCCCCAGUUUGCCACCUGUUUACUGUGGCGCACUUAGAUUACUGAAAACAAUGGCAUGAUUGUAGACCCAGUGUGACUGCAAUCCUGUAAUUCUCUGCUACCUGCAUUAAGAAUUGUAUCAC